rnacentral:rRNA from 1 species
UGAGUGAAGAAGGCCUUCGGGUUGUAAAGCUCUUUCGCAAGGGAAGAAAACUUACCCAAUAGCACUGGGUGAGGCUGACGGUACCUUGAUAAGAAGCACCGGCUAACUCCGUGCCAGCAGCCGCGGUAAUACGGAGGGAGCUAGCGUUGUUCGGAAUUACUGGGCGUAAAGCGCGCGUAGGCGGCUAUUCAAGUCAGGGGUGAAAUCCCGGGGCUCAACCCCGGAACUGCCUUUGAAACUGGGUAGCUAGAAUCCUGGAGAGGCGAGUGGAAUUCCGAGUGUAGAGGUGAAAUUCGUAGAUAUUCGGAAGAACACCAGUGGCGAAGGCGACUCGCUGGACAGGUAUUGACGCUGAGGUGCGAAAGUGUGGGGAGCAAACAGGAUUAGAUACCCUGGUAGUCCACGCCCUAAACGA